GUGGGGGAUAUUGCACAAUGGGGGAAACCCUGAUGCAGCGACGCCGCGUGAAGGAAGACGUACUUCGGUAUGUAAACUUCUAUCAGCAGGGAAGAAGAUGACGGUACCUGACUAAGAAGCCCCGGCUAACUACGUGCCAGCAGCCGCGGUAAUACGUAGGGGGCAAGCGUUAUCCGGAUUUACUGGGUGUAAAGGGAGCGUAGACGGUGAAGCAAGUCUGAUGUGAAAACCCGGGGCUCAACUCCGGGAUUGCAUUGGAAACUGUUUUACUUGAGUGCUGGAGGGGCAAGCGGAAUUCCUGGUGUAGCGGUGAAAUGCGUAGAUAUCAGGAAGAACACCGGUGGCGAAGGCGGCUUGCUGGACAGUAACUGACGUUGAGGCUCGAAAGCGUGGGGAGCAAACAGGAUUAGAAACCCCUGUAGUCC
rnacentral:rRNA from 1 species